ensembl:snoRNA SNORD15 Small nucleolar RNA SNORD15
CUUCAGUGAUGAUAUGAUGACGAGUCAGAAAGGACACUCCUGUCGAAGUAUCGCUCGUUCUGUGCCACGUUCUGUGGUGCAGUGCUUGGGAUGCCUUUGCAGGUUGUCCUGUUCAUUGAAUGAUUUAGAGGCAUUUGUCUGAGAAGG